GCCUGAGUGGUGAAAUUGGUAGACACGCUGGAUUCAAAAUCCAGUGGCAGUGAUGUCGUGGCGGUUCGAGUCCGCCCUCAGGUACCA
rnacentral:tRNA from 2 species